AGCUGCAGUCACCUGCCUUGUCUUCAUCGUCUCACACACAGUGUGCUGAUGUUUCUCCUGAAGCCUUCGUUACUCACUGUCUUUACUCGUCAUUGGUUUUGGUGACGUUUGGUGAUGUUGGUGCGUCUGUGUGACGUCACAUGAUACUAAAGCAGGAGAGGAGUUUAGUAUCUUGGUUUAGAGAGGAACGGGAGAUUAGCGGAUGGAUUAGCGUGGAGUCUGAAGUACUGGGUCAUCGUGGUGAAGAGAGAGCUGUGGGUGAAAGAUAACCUAAUCAUUCAGAGGGUCUCAAGGUAGAGCUGCCGCUCCUCCACAUCAAAGGGAGGCAGUUGACUUUGUUCAGGCAUCCGACUGGAUGCUGCUCUGACUCCUCCUAGACGAGAUUUUUCAGUGAGCAGUGUGGUGCAUGUGUGCGCCCCGGUUGGAGGUGAAGUCCUGCUGCAGUGCGUCUGCCCCGAGCUGC